CGGGGCGGGGGGAGUUGGAUUCCGUCGGCCGCCAUUGGGGGGGGGAGAAUGGGAGAUCAGGGGGGUUCGCCCUAUAGCGGGCCUCAUUAAGGCCCGGGGGAACUGGGUCUAAGACCGGAUAUGACCAUAGAAUGCAUGUUUAAGGGGUGGAAAGAUUUAUCGGUGCGAGAUGGGCCCGCGGCCUAUCAGCUUGUUGGUGAGGUAACGGCUCACCAAGGCGACGACGGGUAGCCGACCUGAGAGGGUGACCGGCCACACUGGGACUGAGACACGGCCCAGACUCCUACGGGAGGCAGCAGUGGGGAAUACUGCACAAUGGGCGCAAGCCUGAUGCAGCGACGCCGCGUGCGGGAUGACGGCCUUCGGGUUGUAAACCGCUUUUGACAGGGACGAAGCGCAAGUGACUGUACCUGUAGAAUAAGGACCGGCCAACUACGUGCCAGCAGCCGCGGUAAUACGUAGGGUCCGAGCGUUGUCCGAAAUUACUGGGCGUAAAGAGCUUGUAGGCGGUUCGUCGCGUCGUUUGUGAAAACUUGGGGCUCAACCUUAAGCUUGCAGGCGAUACGGGCGGACUAGAGUACUUCAGGGGAGACUGGAAUUCCUGGUGUAGCGGUGAAAUGCGCAGAUAUCAGGAGGAACACCGGUGGCGAAGGCGGGUCUCUGGGAAGUAACUGACGCUGAGAAGCGAAAGCAUGGGUAGCAAACAGGAUUAGAUACCCUGGUAGUCCAUGCCGUAAACGGUGGGUACUAGGUGUGGGGCUCCUUCCACGGACUCCGUGCCGUAGCUAACGCAUUAAGUACCCCGCCUGGGGAGUACGGCCGCAAGGCUAAAACUCAAAUGAAUUGACGGG
rnacentral:rRNA from 1 species